rnacentral:rRNA from 1 species
CCAGAGAUGGAUUGGUGCCUUCGGGAACUGUGAGACAGGUGCUGCAUGGCUGUCGUCAGCUCGUGUUGUGAAAUGUUGGGUUAAGUCCCGCAACGAGCGCAACCCUUAUCCUUUGUUGCCAGCGGUUAGGCCGGGAACUCAAAGGAGACUGCCAGUGAUAAACUGGAGGAAGGUGGGGAUGACGUCAAGUCAUCAUGGCCCUUACGACCAGGGCUACACACGUGCUACAAUGGCAUAUACAAAGAGACGCGACCU